CAAAAAUACUGAACUCGGUUUUUGUGUUCAACGUUUGACCGUUCGUCUUGUAUGAAAUUUUUUAAUGAUUAGUAUUUUUAUUAUUGUUAGAUGAUAAAAUAUGAAUAAUACUUUAUAUAUGACUUAUCUUUUUAAAUUUUUUCAUAAUUUUUUCAAAUAAGACGAACGGUCAAACGUUAGACACAGAAACCCAGGAAUUGAGUUUUU
rfam:Oryza glumipatula chromosome 1, whole genome shotgun sequence.